UACCUGCAGCUCGAGUGGUGGCCGCUAUUAUUGGGCCUAAAACGUCCGUAGCCGGUUUAAUAAAUGCCUGGGUAAAUCGUGUAGCUUAACUAUACGAAUUCCGGGUAGACUGUUAGACUUGAGACCGGGAGAAGCUAGAGGUACUCCUGGGGUAGAGGUGAAAUUCUGUAAUCCUAGGGGGACCACCAGUGGCGAAGGCGUCUAGCUAGAACGGGUCUGACGGUGAGGGACGAAGCCCUGGGGCGCAAACCGGAUUAGAUACCCGGGUAGUCCAGGGUGUAAACGCUGCUUGCUUGAUGUUAGUUGGGCUCUGAGCCCAAUUAGUGUCGGAGAGAAGUUGUUAAGCAAGCUGCCUGGGAAGUACGGUCGCAAGACUGAAACUUAAAGGAAUUGGCGGGGGAGCGCAGCAACGGGUGGAGCGUGCGGUUU
rnacentral:rRNA from 1 species